UCAAGUGACUAAGUGCAUGUGGUGGAUGCCUUGGCGAUUACAGGCGAUGAAGGACGUGAUAGCCUGCGAUAAGCUUCGGGGAGCUGGCAAAUAAGCUUUGAUCCGGAGAUUUCCGAAUGGGGAAACCCACCCGCAAGGGUAUUGCACACUGAAUACAUAGGUGUGCAAGGCGAACCAGGGGAACUGAAACAUCUCAGUACCUUGAGGAAAAGACAUCAACCGAGAUUCCGAAAGUAGUGGCGAGCGAAAUCGGAACAGCCUGCGCAUGAUAGCCAUCGACUUAUCAGAACGGAAUGGAAAGUCCGACCAAAGAGGGUGAUAGUCCCGUAUGGAAAAAGUCGGUGGUGGUACUAGGUGCGGAACAAGUAGGGCGGGGCACGUGAAACCUUGUCUGAAUAUGGGGGGACCAUCCUCCAAGGCUAAAUACUCGUAAUCGACCGAUAGUGAACAAGUACCGUGAGGGAAAGGCGAAAAGAACCCCGGGAGGGGAGUGAAAUAGAUCCUGAAACCGCAUGCAUACAAAAAGUCGGAGCCGCAAGGUGACGGCGUACCUUUUGUAUAAUGGGUCAGCGACUUACAUUCAGUGGCAAGCUUAACCGAAUAGGGAAGGCGCAGGGAAACCGAGUCCGAAUAGGGCGUUCAGUCGCUGGGUGUAGACCCGAAACCAGGUGAUCUAUCCAUGGCCAGGAUGAAGGUGCGGUAACACGCACUGGAGGUCCGAACCGACUAGUGUUGCAAAACUAGCGGAUGAGCUGUGGAUAGGGGUGAAAGGCUAAACAAACCUGGAGAUAGCUGGUUCUCUCCGAAAACUAUUUAGGUAGUGCCUCAAGUAUUACCAUCGGGGGUAGAGCACUGUUAUGGCUAGGGGGUCAUGGCGACUUACCAAACCAUUGCAAACUCCGAAUACCGAUGAGUACAGCUUGGGAGACAGUGCACCGGGUGCUAACGUCCGGACACAAGAGGGAAACAACCCAGACCGCCAGCUAAGGUCCCUAAUAUUGGCUAAGUGGGAAACGAAGUGGGAAGGCUAAAACAGUCAGGAUGUUGGCUUAGAAGCAGCCAUCAUUUAAAGAAAGCGUAAUAGCUCACUGAUCGAGUCGUCCUGCGCGGAAGAUGUAACGGGGCUAAGCCAGUAACCGAAGCUGCGGAUUCACACGCAAGUGUGAGUGGUAGGAGAGCGUUCUGUACGCCUGUGAAGGUGGAUCGUGAGGUCUGCUGGAGGUAUCAGAAGUGCGAAUGCUGACAUGAGUAGCGUUAAAGGGGGUGAAAAGCCCCCUCGCCGUAAGCGCAAGGUUUCCUACGCAACGUUCAUCGGCGUAGGGUGAGUCGGCCCCUAAGGCGAGGCAGAGAUGCGUAGCUGAUGGGAAACAGGUCAAUAUUCCUGUACCGAUGUGUAGUGCGAUGUGGGGACGGAGAUGGUUAACUCAGCCGGGUGUUGGAUGUCCCGGUUCAAGCCUGUAGUCGUGCCUGGUAGGCAAAUCCGCCGGGCUUAGAUGAGGGGUGAUAACGAGGCGGCUUGCCGCCGAAGUGAGUGAUACCCUGCUUCCAGGAAAAGCCACUAAGCUUCAGCUACACACGACCGUACCGCAAACCGACACUGGUGCGCGAGAUGAGUAUUCUAAGGCGCUUGAGAGAACUCUGGAGAAGGAACUCGGCAAAUUGACACCGUAACUUCGGAAGAAGGUGUGCCUUUAGUAGGUGAACCAGUACAUGGGGAGCCCAAUGAGGCCGCAGAGAAUCGGUGGCUGCAACUGUUUAAUAAAAACACAGCACUCUGCAAAGACGAAAGUCGACGUAUAGGGUGUGACGCCUGCCCGGUGCUGGAAGAUUAAAUGAUGGGGUGCAAGCUCUUGAUUGAAGUCCCAGUAAACGGCGGCCGUAACUAUAACGGUCCUAAGGUAGCGAAAUUCCUUGUCGGGUAAGUUCCGACCUGCACGAAUGGCGUAAUGAUGGCCACACUGUCUCCUCCAGAGACUCAGCGAAGUUGAAAUGUUUGUGAUGAUGCAAUCUCCCCGCGGAAAGACGGAAAGACCCCAUGAACCUUUACUGUAGCUUUACAUUGGACUUUGAACAGAUCUGUGUAGGAUAGGUGGGAGGCUUUGAAGCGGUGCCGCUAGGUGUCGUGGAGCCAACGUUGAAAUACCACCCUGGUGUGUUUGAGGUUCUAACCUUGGCCCGUGAUCCGGGUUGGGGACAGUGUAUGGUGGGCAGUUUGACUGGGGCGGUCUCCUCCCAAAGUGUAACGGAGGAGUUCGAAGGUACGCUAAAUACGGUCGGAAAUCGUGUUGAUAGUGCAUUGGCAUAAGCGUGCUUGACUGCGAGACUGACAAGUCGAGCAGGUACGAAAGUAGGACAAAGUGAUCCGGUGGUUCUGUAUGGAAGGGCCAUCGCUCAACGGAUAAAAGGUACUCUGGGGAUAACAGGCUGAUACCGCCCAAGAGUUCAUAUCGACGGCGGUGUUUGGCACCUCGAUGUCGGCUCAUCUCAUCCUGGGGCUGUAGCCGGUCCCAAGGGUAUGGCUGUUCGCCAUUUAAAGAGGUACGUGAGCUGGGUUUAAAACGUCGUGAGACAGUUUGGUCCCUAUCUUCCGUGGGCGCUGCAAGAUUGAGAGAGCCUGCUCCUAGUACGAGAGGACCGGAGUGGACGCACCUCUGGUGUAUCGGUUGUCACGCCAGUGGCAUUGCCGAGUAGCUAAGUGCGGAAGAGAUAACCGCUGAAAGCAUCUAAGCGGGAAACUCGUCUCAAGAUGAGUCUUGCCGGGGCCUUGAGCCCCCUGAAGGGUCGUUCGAGACCAGGACGUUGAUAGGCUGGGUGUGGAAGCGCAGUAAUGCGUUAAGCUAACCAGUACUAAUUGCCCGUGAGGCUUGACCC
rnacentral:rRNA from 1 species